rnacentral:rRNA from 1 species
AAUGAACGUUGGCGGCGUGGAUUAGGCAUGCAAGUCGAGCGAGAAGUGUAGCAAUACACGGAAAGCGGCGAAAGGGAUAGUAACACGUAGGUACCUACCCCCGGGCCUGGGAUAGCGGCGGGAAACUGCCAUUAAUACCAGAUAACGUCUCCGGACCAAAGGUGUGAUUCCGUCUGGGGAGGGGCCUGCGUCCUAUCAGCUAGUUGGUGAGGUAAUGGCCCACCAAGGCAUUGACGGGUAGCGGGUGUGAGAGCACGACCCGCAUCACUGGGACUGAGACGCUGCCCAGACACCUACGGGUGGCUGCAGUCGAGAAUCUUCCGCAAUGGGCGCAAGCCUGACGGAGCGACGCCGCGUGCGGGAUGAAGGCCUUCGGGUUGUAAACCGCUGUCAGUGGGGAGGAAAUGCAUGGGGGUUCUCCCCCAUGUUUGACCGAUCCGCAGAGGAAGCACAGGCUAAGUUCGUGCCAGCAGCAGCCGCAGUAA